UUCCGGUUGAUCCCGCCGGACCCGACUGCUAUCAGAGUGGGACUAAGCCAUGCGAGUCAACGUAGCAAUACGUGGCAUACGGCUCAGUAACACGUAGUCAACAUGCCCAGGGGACGAGGAUAACCUCGGGAAACUGAGGAUAAACCUCGAUAGGCCAUGAUUUCUGGAAUGAUUCUUGGCUCAAACCUAUAUGGCCCCUGGAUUGGACUGCGGCCGAUCAGGCUGUUGGUGAGGUAAUGGCCCACCAAACCUAUUACCGGUACGGGCUCUGAGAGGAGGAGCCCGGAGAUGGGCACUGAGACAAGGGCCCAGGCCCUAUGGGGCGCAGCAGGCGCGAAACCUCUGCAAUAGGCGAAAGCUUGACAGGGUUACUCUGAGUGAUUUCCGCUAAGGGAAUCUUUUGGCACCUCUAAAAAUGGUGCAGAAUAAGGGGUGGGCAAGUCUGGUGUCAGCCGCCGCGGUAAUACCAGCACCCCGAGUGGUCGGGACGAUUAUUGGGCCUAAAGCAUCCGUAGCCGGUCCUGCAAGUCUUCCGUUAAAUCCACCUGCUUAACAGAUGGGCUGCGGAAGAUACUAUAGAGCUAGGAGGCGGGAGAGGCAAGCGGUACUCGAUGGGUAGGGGUAAAAUCCGUUGAUCCAUUGAAGACCACCAGUGGCGAAGGCGGCUUGCCAGAACGCGCUCGACGGUGAGGGAUGAAAGCUGGGGGAGCAAACCGGAUUAGAUACCCGGGUAGUCCCAGCUGUAAACGAUGCAGACUCGGUGAUGAGUUGGCUUAUUGCUAACUCAGUGCCGCAGGGAAGCCGUUAAGUUUGCCGCCUGGGGAGUACGGUCGCAAGACUGAAACUUAAAGGAUUGGCGGGGGAGCA
rnacentral:rRNA from 1 species